GAGAACAGGGCUUCCCGUCCGCUCAGCCGUACUUAAGCCACACGCCGGAAGGUUAGUAGUUGGGUGGGUGACCACCAGCGAAUCCCUUCUGUUGUAUGUA
rnacentral:rRNA from 1 species